AGGAAAGCAGGCGCCGCCCUGCACAAGGGCGACGCUAAUGCACCGACGCGAAAGCAGGUUCUACAGGGAGACGCGGAUCAAAGAAAAGACCAGCGCCUCGCGCAACAU
rnacentral:sRNA from 1 species